GAUGAACGCUGGCGGCGUGCCUAAUACAUGCAAGUCGAGCGAACCUCUUCGGAGGUUAGCGGCGGACGGGUGAGUAACACGUGGGUAAACUGCCUGUAAGACUGGGAUAACUUCGGGAAACUGAAGCUAAUACCGGAUAAUUUUUCGAGUCACAUGACUUGAAAUGGAAAGACGGCUUCGGCUGUCACUUACAGAUGGACCCGCGUCGCAUUAGCUAGUUGGUGAGCUAAGGGCUCACCAAGGCGACGAUGCGUAGCCGACCGUGAGAGCGUGAUCGGCCACACUGGGACUGAGACACGGCCCAGACUCCUACGGGAGGCAGCAGUAGGGAAUCUUCGGCAAUGGGCGAAAGCCUGACCGAGCAACGCCGCGUGAGUGAUGAAGGCUUUCGGGUCGUAAAACUCUGUUGUUAGGGAAGAACAAGUACGAGAGUAACUGCUCGUACCUUGACGGUACCUAACCAGAAAGCCACGGCUAACUACGUGCCAGCAGCCGCAGUAA
rnacentral:rRNA from 1 species